rnacentral:rRNA from 1 species
CCUACGGGAGGCAGCAGUGGGGAAGUUUUAGGUACAAUGGGCGGCAAGCCUGAUCCAGCCAUGCCGCGUGUGGGAAGAAGGCCUUCGGGUUGUAAACCACUUUUGUCAGGGAAGAAACGGCCUUUACUAAUAUUAAGGGCUAAUGACGGUACCUGAAGAAUAAGCACCGGCUAACUACGUGCCAGCAGCCGCGGUAAUACGUAGGGUGCAAGCGUUAAUCGGAAUUACUGGGCGUAAAGCGUGCGCAGGCGGCUUUGCAAGACAGAUGUGAAAUCCCCGGGCUCAACCUGGGAACUGCAUUUGUGGCUGCAUGGCUAGAGUACGGUAGAGGGGGAUGGAAUUCCGCGUGUAGCAGUGAAAUGCGUAGAUAUGCGGAGGAACACCGAUGGCGAAGGCAAUCCCCUGGACCUGUACUGACGCUCAUGCACGAAAGCGUGGGGAGCAAACAGGAUUAGAUACCCUGGUAGUCCACGCCCUAAACGAUGUCAACUGGUUGUUGGACGGCUUGCUGUUCAGUACGAAGCUAACGCGUGAAGUUGACCGCCUGGGGGNGGACGGCGCGAGUAGACGUACAANAGAGUAGAGCGNGAGAGAGCGACGGACGACGACGAGGGAGGAGG